ensembl:lncRNA
AGGGCUGUGUGUCCUUCACUAUCAUGGAGACGAGGGCUUCAUCCAGCUCUUGUUUUCUGGUGGCUGGAUAAGAGAGAAUAAAUACAGUGUCUGUUACCUGUCUUUAUUUGCACAAUAAACAGUGAACAGGGACAAAUUGUGAUGGUACAAUUGUAAUAUUGUAAUGACUUAACUUGGCUGGGUGAAGCUCCAGUUUCCUCCUUAUUCUCAUCGAAAGCGCGGUGAUGCCUUAGCACGGAUGAGGUGUUGUUAUUGUACUCCAACUCCUUGGAGCAGUUCUUGAUGAGCAAACUUAAUGUGUUUGAAAUGGAGUUAGAUUUAGCUUACCUUAUUAGGAGUCAUCGAGUGUUCCCACACAGGGGAAAUCCUCCUCUUCCUAGCUGGCUCGACCAUAUCACCGAUCCUUCCCUCCUCACUUUCCUAAUUCUCCAAACUAUCUCUCUCCCUCUCUAACCUCUCCAAACUAUCUCUCUCCCUCUAACUUCUCCAAACUAUAUAAAGGCUAUCCAAACUCUCAACUCCACCAACAACCCACAUUUUGAAUGGAGCCUGAGGGGUUUAUAUUGCCGUCAAACGUCCCCUAACGUCCCCUCAAAUAAGCCAAUCUACAAUUUGCUAUAGAUAAGUAGCGUUACAAGUACAAUUUAAGCGCUACAGUUUGUUAGUCCUUUAGUUGAGGUAGAGUCUGAAGAGGUGUGUCUUUAGUUUGCGGCGGAAGACGUGAAGGCUUUCUGCGGUCCUGGUGUCUUCAGAGAGCUCGUUCCACCAUUUCGGAGCAAGGACAGCAAAGAGUCGUGAUCUAGUCAAGUGUUUUGCACUCAGUGAGGGAGGGACAAGCAGUUUAUCAGAUGCAGAGCGGAGAGUGCGGGUCGGGAUGUGGGGUUUGACCAUGUCCUAGAUGUAAGCUGGACCGGUAGCCAGUGAAGAGAGCGGAGGAGUGGAGUAUUGUGGGAGAAUUAAGGAAGGUUAAAGACCAGUCAAGCUGCUGCAUUCUGAAUGAGCUGCAGAGGUCGAAUCGCGAUAGCGGGGAGAACUGCCAGGAGUUACGAUGGUCCAGGUGGGAGAUGACAAGAGCCUGAAUCAGUGCCUGUGUAGCAGUAGGAGUAGACUCCUAAUCACCGUAUGCCCGCGGGACCAAUCAGAGGGCAGGGACCGGUAUAAACAAACCACAGUAGUCUCCUCCCUCCUAUCGCCCUCUUGGCCAGGUGACGGAACAGUGUCAGUCUUCUGCGUCAUUCACCCGGCAUGGUUGUUCGGCGCUGCUACAGGUAAGGUUGUGAACUGGCUGUCUCCGCGCACUUUAUCUCGCUAAUGCCGUCAGCUGCCUUUUAUAUCUCGUAUGUGAUCCCCAUAGAUCCCCGGCUGUCGAAACCGCGUAGCUCCCUAACAUAGAGCGACCGCCACGAAGCUUGCCGAGCGGCGUGAUCGCCCGAGCUGUCUCCUUCACGGCGACGUCAGUAACUUGUUUAAUUGGGAUUGUACCGGAGGAUCUUGGCCACCGUUAGCAGUCCAACUAGCUGCUGUUUUGCCUAUACGCCUUCUACCUCGGUUUGCGUACAUGUGUUUUUUUGUACUGCGUUGCCUCAAUUGUUUUGGGCCGGACCGCCUACACCGUUGUGCUCGGACGGCUUUACCCGGAUGAACAAUUUUAGCGUGACGUUCGAUCUUUCCCUUCCCCUUGACUUAUUGGGUCGAUGGAGUUAUCUUGUUUUCUUUAUUGUUUAGUUUGUUCUGUAUUUUUGUUUCUUUAUAACCGGGUGAGUGAACCCGGUUGUAUGUACGCGUGUUUAACGUUUUGUUUCUUUAUUCUUUCUAGAGCUGAACGCCGAAGGUGGUGGUGUGGUGUCCCGGUGGUGGUAUCCCUUUACUCGUUUGCUGUGGUCUUUCGUUUUCAUUUAUUUUGCUGUGCUCACUAUUUUGUUUUUGUGUUCACGGGUGUCUUCUCCUGAAACCUCCCCCGCUGCCCUCGUGUCCCCUCCACAACCACUGGUAAGCCUCAGCGUUCAUUAUUUUGUUUAUUAUUUUGACCAUUAUUACCCCCAUUAAUUUCCCUUUUGUUGUGGAGAUUGUGAGCGUGUUUUAAAUUGUUUUAUGGAUCCUCGUAUUUUAUUGUAAUAAACUUAUAACCCCUUUUUGUACAUUGAACCACGUCUUUGGCAUCUUUUGUGAUACUUACCUGCGUGACCUUAUUAGUUAGUAUUCUCUGGGUGAAAUUCCCAGGAUGGCGUUGCUGGUCCCUGUUCUGCCACAAGGUGGCACUGUAGUUAAAUUGCCAUAAAUUGGCGCGAUUAUGUAAUCUCGUGCUGCCACACCUGUGCUGCCUUCUGAGUGAGAAAGGGACGUAUUCUCCUGAUGGUGUCAUCUUGAAAGAAAAAAAACAAAAUGUAUUAAAAAAGAAAAACAAAUAUCACAUGGUCAAAAGUAUUCAGGCCAACUGCUGUGACAUUCAUAUUUAACUCACAUGCUGUGCAUUUCUUUUGAUCCUCCUUGAGAUGGUUCUACUCCUUGGAGUCCUGCUGUGUUUAAUUAAACUGAUAGGACUUGAUUAAGAAAGGCAAACACCUUGUUAGAGCAAAUGAGAAUCAUGAGGUUGAAGGAACUGCUCAAGGAGCUCAGAGACAGAAUUGUGGCAAGGCACAGAUCAGGCUCAGACUCUUCCUAGACCUGGCUGUCCAGCCUAACUGAGCAAUCGUGGGAGAAGAGCCUUGUUGAGAGAGGUAACAAAGAACCCAAACCCCACUGUGGUCAGCCACAGUGAUCUUUGGGUCCCAAAGCUCCAAAGAUGCAGUAGGGUGGUGGGAGGAAGUUCCACAAAGUCAACUAUCACUGCAGCCCUCAACUAGUCGGGGCUUAAUGGUAGAGUGGCCCGACGGAAGCCUCUCCUCAGUGCAAGACAUAUGAAAGCCUGCAUAGAGUUUGUCAAAAACACAUGAAGGACUCCCAGAGUAUGAAAAAUAAGGAUCUCUGGUCUGAUGAGAACAAGACUGAACUUUUUGGCGUUAAUUCUAAGCGCUAUGUGUGGAGAAAAUCAGGCACUGCUUAUCACCUGCCCAAUCACUGAAAUAUGGUGGUGGCAGCAUGGGGGUGUUUUUCAGCUGCAGGGACAGGACUACUGCUUGCAAUUGAAGGAAAGAUGAAUGCGGCCAAGUACAGAGAUAUCCUGGAAACCUCAUCCAGAGUGCUCGAGACCUCAGACUGGGCUGAAGGUUCACCUUCCAACAAGACAAUGACCCUGAGCACACAGCUAAAAUAACAAAGUGGCUUCGGAACAACUCUGUGACCAUUCUUGACUGUCCCAGCCAGAGCCCUGACCUAAACCCAAUUGAGCAUGUCUGGAGAGACCUGAAAAUUGCGGUCCACCAACCUUUACCAUCCAACCGGAACUGGAGAGGAUCUCCAAAUCCAGGUGUGAAAAACGUGUUGCAUCAUUCCCAAGAAAACUCAUGGCUGUACUAGCUCAAAAGGGUGCUUCUACUCAAUACUGGGCCAAAUCUCCGAAUACGUAUGGCCAUGUGAUAUUUCAGGUUUUCUUUGUUAAUAAAUUUCUGCAUCUGUUUUUUUAAUCUUUUUAUUUUUUUUCUGAAGAUGGGGUUCUGAGUGUACAUUAAUGCCCAUAGACUACCCAUAGUGACUCUCUCUACCAACAAACUCCUGGAACAAUGAGUGCCUACAGUUGUCAUUUAGGCAGGCUCCAAAGGUGACCCGCCACCACCCCUGACACCUCCAAUCUACACCCGAAUCUGGCAUAGCAGAAGAGUUAUGCAACUUGGGUUUUUCCACCACCACCACCAGUGUCUGGACUUCCAAAGGGGGGGGGGGGGGGGUAUGCCUCGUCUCGAGAUCCCAGCCCCGGGUCUAUCCUGCGGCAGGAUGUAGUCCAAGCCCCAAACAACUUGCAAUAUCAUAUUAUACCUGUUAUAAUAAAGCAUUGUUCAAAUUUCAACAAGUCUCUCUGGAUUGAAAUGCAAUCAUAGCUGUGCAUUGGUAUUAUUCUGUUAAU